rnacentral:lncRNA from 1 species
GACCUUCCUUUUCAUGUACAGAGAGGGCUCUGAUUCCUUUCGUCCAGUCUUGUUUCGUGUCCGUUGUUCCUUUUCAUGUACAGAGGAUAUUGGUGAUAGUUAGCACUUGGCAGUGAUGCGUUUAGUCUGUGAAAGUGCUCUGUUGUGAUGAUUCUGAAUCGCAGAUGACAUGGAGAAGAACUCCCACCUCAAGGACCUGCAGGCGCUCGGCCACCUGGAGGUCUUCCGCGCCGACUUGGAUGAAGAUGGCAGCUUUGACGACGCCGUCGCCGGCUGCGACUACGCCUUCCUAGUCGCCGCUCCAGUGAACCUCCACACGAAGAAUCCUGAGGUGAACAAAUGUCACAGCUACUCGAGUUCCAUCUCUCGUUUGUCUAGAGUUGCUGACAGCAUCUGCUCAUACUGUUCAUCAACGUUCAUCCCUUGCUCAAUAAUUGGCGGCAGAAAGAGCUGAUCGAGCCCGCUGUCAGGGGAACUCUGAACGUCAUGCGGUCGUGCGUGAAGGCCGGGACGGUGAGGCGCGUGGUCCUGACCUCGUCGGCGGCCUCGGUCUCCAGCAGGCCGCAGCUGCAAGGCGACGGGCACGUGCUGGACGAAGACUCCUGGUCCGAUGUCGAGUACCUUAGAGCCCACAAGCCUGCAGGGCCCUGGGUACGUCGUACGACGCACGUCAGCCCUUGCAACUGUUUGGUGACGACGAGAAGUUGACAACGACGGCGCUGCUGGACGUGCUUGCUUGCAUUGCAGGCGUACCCGGUGUCCAAGGUGCUCCUGGAGAAGGAGGCGUGCAGGUUCUCGGAGGAGCAUGGCAUCAGCCUCGUCACCGUCUGCCCCGUCGCCACCGUCGGCGAGGCGCCGGCCCCGACCGUGCGCACCAGCGUCCCAAACUGCCUCUCCCUUCUAUCCGGUGAAUCAUUCUGAACUGAACUCAUGGCGCUAAACACGUUCAUCCUCUGGAUCAGAGGUUUGGUGUGGAUGAGUGACACAUGUAUAUGGUGGUCGUCGUUCUGUACCAUUUUCUUCAGGCGACGAGGCAGAGUUCGCGGUGCUGGACGCCAUCGAGAGGGCCACGGGGUGCGUGCCGCUGGUGCACGUCGACGACCUCUGCCGCGCCGAGCUGUUCGUCGCCGAGGAGGUAUCUGCCGCGGGGAGGUACAUCUGCUGCAGCAUCAACACGACCAUCGCCGAGCUCGCGCGUUUCCUCGCGGACAAGUACCCGCAGUACGACGUGAAAACGAGCCUGCUGUAAGAAAGAACCGGCUUCGCAGCUCUGGAUUCUGAUGACAUUUUUGCACCGAUGACUGACUGAUGCCGUUUGGCCGCACUUUUGCAUGCAGCUCCGGCGAGCGGCUUGAGAAGCCGAGAGUGCGUCUGUCGUCCGAGAAGCUGGUGAAGGAAGGGUUCGAGUUCAGGUACAGAACGCUGGAUGACAUGUACGACGACAUGGUCGAGUAUGGCAAGACCCUGGGAAUCCUGCCCAGCUGAUAUGAGUACGUGAUGCUCCUCUAUUUCGGCCGGCGAUCAAGACUAGGGAGUCAGAACACUCCUGCAAAACAAAGCCAAUGCUUUUGCUGCUAGUGUGCUGAACCGUAGCAGUUGAGUCAGUUCGUAUAAGACUAGAAGAAUAUCCACACGCUGCCGCAGGACUUUUCUAGAAAUAAAUUUGUUAUAUGUAUAAUUUUACUAUACGGUACCCUGGGUAUUAUGUAUGUUGCUAAGAUUUGUUUAAGAUCUUACCUUGUUAAAAAGAGGGGCACAAUUAAAUGGAUAAAGCAUGGUGAUGCAGGUACCAGUUUCUUUCAUGCCAAUGCUGCUAUUAGGCACAGAGGAAACGUGAUUACUGAGCUAAUGACAAGGGAUGGGGCUCUUGUCAGUGGUCACAGUGAGAAAGGAGCAGUUCUUUGGGUUGAUUUCAAAUUUAGACUUGGCACCUCAGAAUUCUCGGGGUUCAAUGUUGACCCAACUUUUUUCAUUCAGAGUGUUGAAUAUCUGGACUCUUUAGAAGAACCUUUCAGUUAGACAAAAAAUGACAGUAUCAUCAAAGCCUUGCCAAAUCAAAAGUGACCAGGUCCAAAUGGGUUCAAUAAUGAGUUUUUAAAGAAAUCCUGGCCAGCGAUCAAACAUGACUUCUAUGAUCUGUGUGAUUCCUUCCAUAGCAAUUCAGUUUGCUUGAGGAGCAUAAACUCUUCCUAUAUCACCCUAAUCCCCAAAGUUGAUGGUGCAAGUUCUCUUGCAAAUUUCAGGCCCCAUUUCCCUGCUCAACUCCUCAUUCAAACUUGUCACCAAGCUGGUUGCAAAUAGACUACAGCCUUUAAUAACCUCCAUAGUGCACAAGAGUCAAUAUAGUUUCAUGAAGAAUAGAACAAUCUAGGAUUGUCUGGCUUAGGCUUUUGAGUAUUUACACCUCUGUCAUCACUCAAGGAAGGAAAUAGUCAUCAUCAAGUUAGAUUUUGAGAAAGCAUUUGACAAAAUUGAGCACCAGGCCAUGCUAAUUCCGAUGGAAGAAAAGGGCUUUGGGCAGAAGUGGUUAGAUUGGAUGAAGGCCAUCAUGUCUUCAGGGACCUCUGCUGUACUCCUAAAUGGGGUACCUGGAAAAACAUUUCACUGUAAAAAGGGUGUUAGAGAGGGGGAUCCCCUCUCCCCACUCAUUUUUGUCCUUGCAGCAGAUUUUUUGCAGUCAAUAAUUAACAAGGCAUCAUUCUCUUAUGCUAGACUAUUUGGGCAACAAGGAAUGAGCUCAUUUUUAAAUUAAAUAGUCUGAAUCUGACGGGUUGUCAUAGUAUCUUCUUUAGUGAGUUGAUUAUUCGGAAGAGAAUGAAGACGAAUUAGCAAGACCAAUUAUCUUUAUGGAUUCUGAGUCUACAAUAAACUGCUGGUUGGCUCUAAUUUUCUUUGUUUCUUUUUUUUAUCUUGAACUGGUUCUCUCUCUCCCCCCCCCCCUCCCUCUUUUCCUCUCCUUUAAGAAAUCACUGUAGGGGUCACGGCCCCUCCAGAUUCGUAAAAAAAAAAAAGACCAUGGAAGAGGUGGCAAAAGUUGAUCAAAGAGUAAGUUGAACCGACUUAAAACGUCCAUAGAGGCUACAAACAAUGAGUGUCAAUCUCGCUGUCCACGUUUGCCAUUACUCAGUCACUCACUCGCCAGUUGCCAACAGCCGACACGAAGGAACCACCAGGCCCACAGCCUUUUCUCGUAGAGCAGAUCUUGUCAGUUCUUCCUGAUGAAAAUUUUGCCCAACGAGCGAGUGAAUCAUCCUCUUUGAAGCCCGCUGUGACUUGUGAGGUGGCACAGCCGACGAGAUGUCUACCGGCAACAGGAAGAAGACGGCGUGCGUGACCGGAGGGAACGGGUACAUCGCCUCCGCGCUCAUCAAGAUGCUGCUAGAGAGAGGGUACGCCGUGAAGACGACGGUCAGGAAACCCGGUUCGAUUAUUUGACCUUCCCCUUUUGUAGUGAUGUGUUUAGUCUGUGAAAGUGCUUUAUUGUGAUGAUUCUGAAUCCCAGAUGACAUGGAGAAGAACUCCCACCUUAAGGACCUGCAGACUCUUGGAUCCUUGGAGAUCUUCCGCGCCGACUUGGAUGAAGAUGGCAGCUUUGACGACGCCGUCGCCGGCUGCGACUACGCCUUCCUAGUCGCCGCUCCAGUGAACCUCCACACGAAGAAUCCUGAGGUGAACAAAUGUCACAGCUACUCGAGUUCCAUCUCUCGUUUGUCUAGAGUUGCUGACAGCAUCUGCUCAUACUGUUCAUCAACGUUCAUCCCUUGCUCAAUAAUUGGCGGCAGAAAGAGCUGAUCGAG